rnacentral:rRNA from 1 species
UGGGGAAUAUUGGACAAUGGGCGCAAGCCUGAUCCAGCCAUACCGCGUGGGUGAAGAAGGCCUUCGGGUUGUAAAGCCCUUUUGUUGGGAAAGAAAUCCAGCCGGCUAAUACCUGGUUGGGAUGACGGUACCCAAAGAAUAAGCACCGGCUAACUUCGUGCCAGCAGCCGCGGUAAUACGAAGGGUGCAAGCGUUACUCGGAAUUACUGGGCGUAAAGCGUGCGUAGGUGGUCGUUUAAGUCCGUUGUGAAAGCCCUGGGCUCAACCUGGGAACUGCAGUGGAUACUGGGCGACUAGAGUGUGGUAGAGGGUAGCGGAAUUCCUGGUGUAGCAGUGAAAUGCGUAGAGAUCAGGAGGAACAUCCAUGGCGAAGGCAGCUACCUGGACCAACACUGACACUGAGGCACGAAAGCGUGGGGAGCAAACAGGAUUAGAUACCCUGGUAGUCCACGCCCUAAACGAUGCGAACUGGAUGUUGGGUGCAAUUUGGCACGCAGUAUCGAAGCUAACGCGUUAAGUUCGCCGCCUGGGAGUACGGUCGCAAGACUGAAACUCAAAUGAAUUGAC